UACGUAGGGAGCAAGCGUUGUCCGGAAUCAUUGGGCGUAAAGCGCGUGUAGGCGGUCCGGUAAGUCCGCUGCGAAAGUCGGGGGCUCAACCCUCGGAUGCCGGUGGAUACUGUCGGGCUUGAGUACGGAAGAGGCGAGUGGAAUUCCUGGUGUAGCGGUGAAAUGCGCAGAUAUCAGGAGGAACACCAAUUGCGAAGGCAGCUCGCUGGGACGUUACUGACGCUGAGACGCGAAAGCGUGGGGAGCAAACAGG
rnacentral:rRNA from 1 species